GCAGAGCAUCCUACGGGAGGCAGCAGUGGGGAAUAUUGCACAAUGGGCGCAAGCCUGAUGCAGCCAUGCCGCGUGUAUGAAGAAGGCCUUCGGGUUGUAAAGUACUUUCAGCAGUGAGGAAGGUGGAUAUGUUAACUAGCAUAUUCAUUUGACGUUAGCUGCAGAAGAAGCACCGGCUAAACUCCGUGCCAGCAGCCGCGGUAAUACGGAGGGUGCGAGCGUUAAUCGGAAUUACUGGGCGUAAAGCGCAUGCAGGUGGUUUGUUAAGUCAGAUGUGAAAGCCCGGGGCUCAACCUCGGAAUUGCAUUUGAAACUGGCAAACUAGAGUACUGUAGAGGGGGUAGAAUUUCAGGUGUAGCGGUGAAAUGCGUAGAGAUCUGAAGGAAUACCGGUGGCGAAGGCGGCCCCCUGGACAGAUACUGACACUCAGAUGCGAAAGCGUGGGGAGCAAACAGGAUUAGAUACCCUGGUAG
rnacentral:rRNA from 1 species